rnacentral:rRNA from 1 species
CGAAAGCCUGACGGAGCAACGCCGCGUGUGGGAAGAAGGCUCUUGGGCUGUCAACCACUUUUCUCAGGGAAGAAGUUCUGACGGUACCUGAGGAAUCAGCCUCGGCUAACUCCGUGCCAGCAGCCGCGGUAAUACGGAGGAGGCCAGCGUUAUCCGGAAUUAUUGGGCGUAAAGCGUCCGCAGGGGGCGCAUCAAGUCUGCUGUCAAAGGUCGGAGCUUAACUCCGGUUCGGCAGUGGAAACUGGUGCGCUAGAGGGGGACAGGGGUAGAGGGAAUUCCCGGGGUAGCGGUGAAAUGCGUAGAGAUUGGGAAGAACACCGGUGGCGAAAGCGCUCUACUGGGUCGCACCUGACCCUCAGGGACGAAAGCUAAGGGAGCG